rnacentral:misc_RNA from 1 species
UACGUAGGAUGCAAGCGUUGUCCGGAUUUACUGGGUUUAAAGGGUGCGUAGGCGGUUUUAUAAGUCAGUGGUGAAAUCUCAUAGCUUAACUGUGAAUGUGCCAUUGAUACUGUAAGACUUGAGUAUUUGUGAGAUGGGCGGAAUUGGUAGUGUAGCGGUGAAAUGCAUAGAUAUUACCAGGAACGUCGAUAGCGAAGGCAGCCCACUAACAAAUUACUGACGCUGAGGCACGAAAGUGCGGGGAUCAAACAGG